UUCAAUUUCCUUCACAGUCCGAAGCCCUAAGUCUCAGCUCAGGUGUCAGCAGAAAGACAGGGGAGCCAGCCUCUGGAGGAGCCAUCCAGGGCAGGAAAUUAGAUCAAGUGCAGGAAGGGGCAAUCAGAAGGCAGCAGCCAUGGCUCCCUUCCCUGGGUGGGGGAUGGGAUCAGCUGGCCUGCUUAGAGGGCUUUCAGAUAAAAUCAAUUCCCUUUAAAUCACUGGCUAAUUUCGUUUGUGAUUCCUUUCAGCUCGAGUAGAGCAGCAGCAAUAAAUUGAGGCAUUCUGGUGUGAGGCCUGGGAGUGCGGUGGUGAAAGUAACUCUUCCAGCCUCUCCAGCUGAUGGGCCAGCUUCAUUCUGCCCUGAGGGGCCCAUGGAGGCUCGAGAACUAACAAGUCCCUUAGUACACGGUGAAUGCUCUCCAUCCACCUGGUUCUAAUUCUUAGUCCCGAUUCUGCCUCUAGGACACCGAGUCCUGGUGUCUGUGCAAAAGAGUUGCCUGCUCCAGAUGGAUGGGUACAUUGAGUGCUCAGCUCAUUUCACCCUUGGGGCUUCCUGUGAAGCAAAGUGGAUUAAAGAGUCGUCCCCCCCCCACCUCCCACAGUUACUCCUAAACCCCAUACCUGCAAGCAUGAUCCUAUUUAGUGUCCACAGAGGCCAUUAAGGAUCUGAAGAUGUGAUCAUCUUACAACGAGGACAGUCUGUAAUCUACUGCCAGGGUCUAAAUGAGAAAGGAAAGAAGCUCUAAGCCAGACACAGGGAGAAGGCCACCUGAGACCCAAGAAGACCAGAGACGUGUACCAUAAGGAGGAGCCACCUGGAGCUGCAGAAGUGAGGGAGGCUCCUGCAGCCUGUGCCCCUCCCUCACAUCCUUGGUCCUCAGAGCCCUUACAGCUAGAGGGGUCCUAUUCUGGAUAGCUCAAGCCCCAUCAAGCAACUUUGACACCCCUCUGCAACUAACCGGCUGUCUAGCCCAGCCCAGGCCAGCUAAGGUCACUCUGCAUUCUGUAAAGAAAAGACCUGCAGCCCAACGUGAUAGUGUACCAGUUUGUUUCUCUGUUGAUGCAAUAAAACAUUGAUCAAAAGCAACUAGAGAAGGAAGGGGUUUACUGGGCUUGUACUUUGAUAUUACAGUCCAUUGUAGAAGGGAACAGGGACACUGAAGGAAUGCUGAUGGAUCAGUCUGCUUGUUUUAAAAACAAUAUAACCUGGGACUGCCUGCCCAGGAGUGGUGUAGCCCACAGUGGGCUGGGCGGUUUCACAUCAACCAUCAAUCAAGAACAUGCCUCCACAGACUUGCCAACAGCCAAUCUAAUGGCAACAUUUUCUCGAGUGAAGGUCCCUCUUACCAGAUGACUCUGGCUUGUGUUAAUUUAAAAAGCAAAGCAAAGCAAAGCAAAAGCAUCUCAGACCUAAAUGAUUCUAAUGAGGGGAGGCAAAGGGUCCCAGUGAGGUCACACAGCCACAGGCUUAGGGCAGACUGAGCCUGGCCACAGACUGAACCUGGCCAAUUUGCUCAGGUUGCAUUCCAAGUCUGCAACCAAGAGCUGUCGCUGCUCCUAUAGGCCCAGACUGUUCCUAGCCGACAUCUCUCAAAGUUAGGUCCUUCUCUGUGGAGGAAACCUUCUCUGUUUUGAGGCACUGUGGCUUCCUUGCUCCUAACUCCAUAGCCUUGUGGCUGCCAUUUUGUACUUCUUUCAGGACAUGAAGGUCAGGGUCACAUCUCACUAGGUUCUGUGUAUUAUCCCAGCUGUGACCCUGGAUCCUGCCCAGGGUGUGCUCCCAGAUGUGAGCCAUGCUGGCUGCAUCCUGCGCGCGUACUUUGGGUGGAA
rnacentral:lncRNA from 1 species